AACAUUGUAACAUAACCUCAAAAAAGUAAAAAAAAAAAAUACAAUGCGAUUGCACGUGUUUUUGCCGUUUAUUGACAAAAAGAAUGUGAUCGAAAUUUAUCACUUUUAAUAUUAAAUAAUACAAUUAUGUUUGUUCUUACCGAGUUUAAAGAUACUGUUAAAAUUCCACCGUGGAAUUUUAAGAAAAAAUUGAAUGAUUCCGUCACUGAUGAAUUAAAUAGAAAACUUGCUAACAAGGUUUUUCCUAACGUAGGCCUCUGUAUUGCUUUACACGAUAUCGAGAAGAUAGAGGAAUCCUACGUUUUUCCAGGAGAUGGUUCGUCUCACACAACAGUCACCUUUCGUUUUAUAGUGUUUCGACCAUUUAUGGAGGAAAUAUUGAUUGGAAAAAUUCGAAAUUGCAGCAUAGACGGAGUGCAUGUGACUCUGGGAUUUUUCGAGGAUAUUAUCAUCCCACCGAAUAAAUUACAGCAUCCAUCACGAUUUGACGAAACUGAACGCGUCUGGGUUUGGGAAUAUGAAGUUGAAGGAGGAGAUAAGCACGAUUUAUUUAUGGACGAACAUGAAAUUAUUCGAUUCAGAGUUUUUAGUGAAGUCUUCAAGGAAACUUCACCGUAUACCUUAAUGGGAGCUAUCGAUGAACCAGGACUAGGCUGUCUCACUUGGUGGGAAAACACUUGAUCAGGUUUUUAAAAAAGAAUUUCUAAUAAAUUAUUAAUUACGUCCUUAUAUUUAAGGAUUUUAAUUUAUUUACUUUGCAUUUUAUAUUUUAAAUUGUAUAGUAUUACGGUAAAUAACUAAGAGGUAGAGAGGGAGAGAAAAUAAAUAAAAUAAUAGAUAAUAUCGACAUUAUUUUGACGUCGUAAAAAUAUCCCAAGGAAAAAAACUUGUUUUUCUUUCGAAGUCGAAAACACUUCAAAACUAGUUUUAAUAAAUUUUCCAAUAAGUUAAAUAGGUGUGUGAAGUUUUCAGUAAACGUUUGCAAAUAGUUUAUUAACAAAAAUUCAACAUUACGUUCUUAACGUUGCAAUAAUCCAAAGAAAAGAAUUCAAAAGAUGGCAAUGAAGUACUCAACAAUUUUCUUGUUAGUAUUGUUUUUUAGUUUUUGUAACGAUUCCUUUGCCAUAAGUCCACCAAAAAAUUGUAAUGCAAAUAGUGAGUGCGCAGCCUACUUGACAUGCAUUAACAAUAAAUGUAUCAAUGCUUGCAUUAACACCUGUGCAACAAAUGCAAUCUGUCAAGUGAAAAAUCACAUUCCUAUCUGUACUUGUCAUUCAGGAUACCAAGGAGAUCCUUUCAUAAAAUGUAAAAAAAUUUAGAAAUUGGAAAACAAUUUUUAAAAAUCAAAAAAGUAAAAUCAAUUUUUUAUUGAUAUUCUUCAAACUUUUUCCUAUUUUUUCAACUCCAACGAUGGGAGAAUGAACAGGUUUUAAAUAAAUUCGAAAUAAAUCAUUAA